CGUGCUUAACACAUGCAAGUCGAACGAUGAACCGGAGCUUGCUCUGGGGAUUAGUGGCGAACGGGUGAGUAACACGUGGGCAACCUGCCCCAGACACCGGGAUAACCAUUCGAAAGGAUGGCUAAUACCGGAUACGACCACUUCGGGCAUCCGAUGGUGGUGGAAAGGAUUCUGGUCUGGGAUGGGCCCGCGGCCUAUCAGCUUGUUGGUGGGGUAAUGGCCUACCAAGGCGACGACGGGUAGCCGGCCUGAGAGGGCGACCGGCAAAACUGGGACUGAGACACGGCCCAGACUCCUACGGGAGGCAGCAGUGGGGAAUCUUAGACAAUGGGGGAAACCCUGAUCUAGCCAUGCCGCGUGAUCGAUGAAGGCCUUAGGGUUGUAAAGAUCUUUCAGUGGGGAAGAUAAUGACUGUACCCACAGAAGAAGCCCCGGCUAACUCCGUGCCAGCAGCCGCCGUAACAC
rnacentral:rRNA from 1 species